rnacentral:lncRNA from 1 species
GCGGCCAGCAGGCUCGGCAACAUCUUCUCCUACUGUCUCCCUUCUACGAGCAGCUCCACUGGCUUCCUAAACAUCGGCAAACCAUUGGCGAGCGCAGUGCGAUAUACGCCAUUGCUGACAGAUUCACGCGCGCCGACCCUCUACUUUAUCGAUCUCAUUGGAAUAACCGUCGGAGGUACGAAGCUGCCGGUGUCGGCGACCGUCUUCCGAUCUGCUGGCACGAUUAUAGAUUCUGGGACGGUGAUCACCCGCCUGCCACCUGCGGCGUACAGCGCACUUCGGACGGCCUUCCGCGCGGCUAUGAGUCGGUACCCACGGGCUCCGGCGGUCAGUAUACUGGACACUUGUUAUGACUUCAGUAAGGCGGCAAAUGUAACAUAUCCGGUGAUCAAGCUCCUGUACUCCGGUCUCGAGGUCACGCUCCCGGCUACAGGGGUGAUGUACGUCAUCAGCUCCGCACAGGUCUGUCUGGCGUUCGCCGGGAACUCGGACUCCGACCAGAUCAGUAUCAUCGGCAACGUUCAGCAGAGGACGUUCGAGGUGACCUACGACAAUAUUGGGAACAGGAUAGGGUUCUCCGCGGGGGCGUGCCGCUAGUUCGCCGGGGAGCGUCGAGGGCAUCUCCAAAGUCUGGAAAAAAUUCUGGAUGCUUUUUUCUGAUGUACGGAAAUCGCGUGAAUCUGCGGCGUUUUCUCGUAAUUUUGCUAUUCGUGUGCGGCGAUAUAUUCGAAUAAGUGGUUUAUGCACAAUUCUUCAUAGUCGGUGACUACUUUGUCGAUAUCCUUUUAGUUCAAUUGGUCUUGGGCUGUCAGCCUGUUCGACAAAUAAGACAUCCCCUUCGACGGCAUUUGAUGCAGGGGGAUAUGGUUGGGGGCAUAGACAUGAAUUCCCGUUAGUGCAUGGUCCGUUUGGAAUGUGAAAAAGGUGAGCGAGGAAUGCCUCAAAAUAUAUAAAGCUGGCGAAGGAGGAAGGGGAGUGCGUUUGCCAGAGGAAGACUGCCCCGUUUCUAGUUUGUCUUGAUUAGAUUAUCAACUGAACAAAACGUUUGACCUGGGCAUUGUUUCUUGACGCACCCAACAUUACUGUUUGUCCCGUGAAUUACAGUUCGUUCCAUCGAAAAAACAGAGGCUAACCGACGAAGGUCUUAUAAUAUAUGCUCCCUUCACUAUACAAUUUCGAUUCAGGGUUUAUUCAUUUUUGAAUAGAAAACAAGAAAGCUGAGCAUAAUGAAGUAGGCACUUACCCUAGCAGCCGGCGGCAGAACACCGACCUUGCCACUGGGCUUAACUUAAUCAACUAGGCUAAGAGUCAGUCCAUGAGUAGCUGUCAUCAGCCCAAAACCAUCGUGAGAUGGCUGAAGAGCGAUGUGAAGGCUUUUUAGAGCCUCGCAAAUAAUGCGUAGUUUCAGGUUUUCUCGGACGCUGUAGAUCGGCUGGCCCCGCCGUAAUGCCAGAGCGUUCCCUCUACUAGAACGGUUCCCAUCUCCAGCCUCUCCCUCGAAUACACGCUUUUGGUUGUGCUGCAGUCUUCCGAAAGGCUUCUACCUUUCGGGUCUUGCAUUUUAAGAAAAAUCCCUUUGUGCAGCCUUGGGUUCAUUUUAUAGACGAUUUGUCCAAAACUCUUCUUGGAAAAUUGGCGAGAUUGUCACUCUAUUAGUUCACGGAUGACAUUUUUAAGAAUUUUCUACGGUUUAUCUAGAUCCAGUCGGCUAUUAGUCUUGGGAUACACCAUAAACAUAUAAGCUAUACUACUAGUUGGAUUAUUCUUUUCUGCUUAUAUUGCCAAAGUCAUGUUGUAUAACACUAUAAAAUAAAUAAAAUAUUUUAUCUGUUUAUCUUUAUCUUUUCAAUUAGAUUUAAGAAGCAAAAGGGUGUUUAUAUAGGUAUUGGACAGAAAAAUGAAGGAAUAUAUGAUGCAUUAAUACCCAAAGAAUAGCCUACAAUAUACUCAAAAGUGAAAGUGGCUUCGAGAGUUUAAAUUUGAGUUGGAGUUUAGGUUUCUCCUUUUAUCUUAGGUAAAUUAAAAGUUUAAAAACAUUAGGCUCACUGCUACAGCUCCUAUGUUGAUGCUUUUUUAUUAUUGUUGAUUGUAGAGUUCAAAAGUAUAAUAUGGCGAAUAAAAAUGGGAGCUUGAUAAGUAUAAAUGCCUAUAUAAAAAGUGAAAGAUUUAGAGGCUAAAAAUAAUACCAAGAGGGGGGGGGGGAGAAUUAGUAUUUUAAAAAUCUCAAAUUUUCUUCCUAGAUGUUAGAUGUGUCAACACAUAUGUUAACAUGGUUCUGUAUGAUUAUCUACAUGUAAAAUGACUUUCUCUUUCUUUUAGUGGGGACUCACUAUGAGGCAAGAGUUUUUUAUAUUAGUUUGUCCCUCACUUAACUACAAAUCCUAGAGGAUUAUUCUUACUAGUAUUUUAUUAUUUCUCACAGAAAUACACAUUGAUUUUAAUGAGAUCAACAGCCACAACACCUCAAGUUCAACCUCCAUAGAGAUCUAGCUCCUUCUUGACCAAAUAGGGCUUAGAACACCUUAUGCCAUUACCUAAACUCACGCUCCACUCAUCACCCAGUUACCUUAGGGCUUAAUGAAGAGCUUCUAUAAAGGAUUCUAGCUUUAUCUUGAUCACUAAUUAUUGAUGAAGAUAGAUGAUACAGUCUACUCGUAGUUAAAGUUCAGUAUCGAAUCUUGAUCGUGAGAAAGAUUUCUCAUUGUAGAUCAAAGUAAAAUUAUUGUUGUUGAUCUCUUUUACUUUCUUUACUUGUAGGGCAUCAUCCUUUAAUAGAUUUCUAUAUUUUAUUUGAGAGAUAAAGUCAAAAGGUCAGUUUGAAUAAUUACCAUUUUACAUAACAUGCGGUAAUAACAUUUGUCUAUUACGAAUUCAAUAUCUUUCUAUUAUCUAGUUCGCUAAUUUUGAAAUUUAAACUAAAGAUUUUUAUCUCAUAGAAGAAUAACUUUCCUUUUGACUUUGUCUUCAGAUUUGAACAUUAAGAUAGUUUUUUUCUCCAUGUAAAGAGCUGACAGAUAAUUGUCUAGAUUUUCAAUUCAAGACUUAUAAGAGUUUAAUUGAUAUUUCGAAUCUUUUUUUUCUUUUAAUAAUGCAUGCGAGUAAUAAACAUUUAUUUUAAAAAUGGUUAAAUAAUCAUAGAUAAAUGAUUAAUAAACACUUAAAUAAUUAAAUAAUCAUAGAUAAAUGAAUUAAAGUAUAACUAUCAAUUACCUAUUAAAUAUUUAUUUUUCAACAAAUGUUUAUCUAUAUAUAGCACUUCACCUAUUCAUGAUUUUACUCAACCUCAAGGUUUGUCAUAAUGUCACAAGAUAAAUAAUAUAUGAAUUUACAUGAAACCUAUGAGUCAUUAAUCAUAAUCGUGUGAAUAAUUUUAAUUAUGAAUUAUAUAUUUUCUCUUAUAUUUGUAAUAUCAAAAUCUAUGCCUAAGGGCAUCAACAAAAAGUAUCUAUCGUCUUAGUUUCAUAGUGAAAUACUAUUUUAAAAUUUUGAAAAAAUAUUAAAAAUUGAGUAUAGGUUGGGUAAUACUCAAUCAUAUGAUUCUUAUGAUAGAUGUGAAUUUUUCAAAAAAUCCUCACUUUGUUUUUGGAAUUAAGGCUAAUUAUUCCCAACUUUUCUAAUUGCCACUCUAUAAACUUUUAUAGAGGCUUGUUUGGUACAUUAAACCUGAAAGAUCCUGUGGAAGAAUCACAACUCUUGUAUAUGAAGGUCUCUUGAAUCAUCAUACAUCAUAAUUUUUGAAUGAGGGGUCAUCCUCAAAUCUAGUGAAUCAAAAAUGAUGAUAUCCCUUUAUGAAGAGCCAAAAAUGGUAAAUUAUAAAUUUAUUUUAUAAAAGAGGUUUAGAAAAUGUUGGAGAAUCAAAUACAUAUUGUUUUGAUGUUUAAAAACACUCAAAAUAUUAUUUAGAAAAUGAGAUUAUGCAUAUUAUUUAUUAUCCCUGAUUUAUGAUGUAUGAACAUAAUCUUGUCCAAAUAUGAAUUCAUAUAUAAUUUUAAGUAGUAAGGUAAAAUUUCUAAAUCGUUUAAUGAAUGUAGUCGUGAACUAUGAUGAUCAAUUCUAAAAUUCAAUAAAAUUUACCAAAUAAAAUUAUUAUUUUUUACUUUACUGUGAAUACUCUAAAUAUUUAUAGAAACUUACAUUUUGAGAAACUAAUGAUUAUCAUAUUUGAAUAAAUACCAGCCACUGAAGUAAAAUAAGGGUCAAAAAACUUAAUAUAAUUUUUGGUCAUGAUGGUAGAUCAUUAUUCUAAAGUAGUUUCGUAUCAUAGUAAUUGAAUUCAUAUUGCAUACAUUUCUCAAAACUUCUAAAAAUCAAUGAGUAUUAUUAAGAAAUAUUUUUAAAUAUUUAUACUGUCAAAAUUAUGAUUUUACAUAUUGAGAUUUUGAAUGCCUACUUGAUGAUGACAAUUUCUUAGUUUUGACACUGAAAUUAUUACUUUAUUUUGGGAUGUAUUAUUUGUUCCAUGUCAACAAUUGAGAAUCAUAAGCAGACUUAUUUUAACUAGUAACUCUCAAAAGUUAUACAUUGGUGGUAAACAAUAACAUGAAUUCAUUUCUUAAUAAGAUAUUUGUAUCUUUAGAGGAAAUAUCAUAUAUGUUUUCCAACCAUUUAUAGUUCUAACUACUAGAAACUAAAUAGUGAAAUGCAACAAAAACUAGGAGAGAAGUUUGAACAAAAUUUCUUUAUAAAUUCAACACAUUUCUAACGACUAAUUAGUUCCUAAUGAUUACCUCUAAUUUUUCUACAAUUUUGAUGGGGAUCUUGAGCCAAUCCCUCCAAUCGGGGCACCAAGGGAGGAGCCUAUUUUGACCCAUGUCCAAGGAGGCCCAAAAAAGGAGGGCUAAGGCAUGGACUUGAGCCAAGAUAAGGCCCAUUCCCAAGAGGAUGCUCGUGCCUUCAUAGAGGGGUGCCUCACCAAUCACCCUCUCCUCUCACAAGGGGACCAUUGGAAGCACCCCUUGGGCAACCAUCCAUACUACUCAAUCACAAGGGGCCACAAGAUGUUCAUUAAGGACUUGAAAAAGGGUCAAGGAAAGGACAAGAAGUGGAUAACAACAUCUAACCAACCUUGGAGAAGUAAAGUCAACUAAGGAGGUCAACUAUGAGUCAAAACACCUUUUUGUUAUGUAUAACUUCUCUCUUUUGUAACCACUUGUAAGAACUCUCUAUAAAAGGGGUGGCUCAUAGAUUCUAAGGAUAAAAAAUUUAUGAAUGAAGUACUUUGUUCUCUCUUCAAAACUUUGUCCUUUAGUCAAAGAGAGGCUGUGAGGGUCAACACUCCUUAAGGAGAGGCCACGAGGGUCAAUUGCCCCACAAGGAGGCUGUGAAGGUCAACACCAUAAAAGUCAAUCCACUCAUUCCACUUUCUCAUGUUGACACACCAUCAUUCACUAUAUUUUAGAGUCAGUGAAGUCACUUUUAUGGUUAACAAGUCAACUAAAGAGGGAUAUCACCACCCUUCUUAUAAGGUACAAGUUGACUUAUAUGUUUCUAGCGAAGCCUAAUCUUAUCUGAAAAAUUCUCUUGCUUUAUUACUUAAGACUGAUCAUAGGGUAGCCAUUUUCAAGCAUUUAGUGAUCUCAAAUCUUGGAAUAAAUUUGAUCCGACUCAAUUAAGCCUAGUCAAGUCUAGAUCAAAGGAUAAUUUAAAAUCCUAUAAUCUCAAGAUGUGAGAAUUCAAUUUAUCUUAAUUUUAUAUCUAUAAAUUCAAGUAAAGCCUUGAGAAUUUACUAUUAAAAGCUUUUGUCUUAUUAUUUCACAACUUAAUUUGGAUUUUCUCACCUUCAUCUCGCAUCAGCCUUGUUGAUAUUUUUUGUAGAAACUUUUAUGAAAACUCAUGAGGUUGGGCCUGCAUUAAAAUUUUAUGAACUUGAUACAAAAUUACGAGGUAAAAAUAAUAUGAGAGCUGAGUUUUUUUAUUACUUGUUAUGAUUAGUGGACGAUUGGUGUAAUAGAAGGAAAUAAUUUGGUGAUUCUUAUAGAAUGCCAUAGAUAGGAUGAUAAAUUAUGUCAAAAGUUGAGCAUUUUAGAUUUAAAUUUCAAAAAAUCACAUGAUUAAGAUAGAAUGAAGAAGAUUGAAGAUCAUAGUAAUACAUUACUUGAGUUAAAAAAUUAGGAUUUGAUCAAUUCGAACUGUUUUCUUGAUAGAAGUGUGACCUAAAAUUCAGCAGUUGGUAUCAAAUAUUAUUUGUAUGGAUGGAAAAUAAAUUUCUUUGAUGAAUAUAUAUUGAGAGUAUGAUGUAGGAGUUCAAUACAUAGAACAGAACUAUUUAAUGUAUCAAAUUAUACUGUUUGGAAGAAUAAGGUAGAUAUAUUUAUCAAAAUAUUAGAUUAUUAGGUGUUGGAGAUUAGUAUGGAUGAACCAUUAAAAGUGAAUGAUCUACACAUAAAACAACAAAAUAUUUUAUUUCUAAAUGCUAGAGUCAGGCAUAUCUUGAUAAAUGAGUUAGAUAUUAAGGAAUUUAAUAGAGUUAUUGAUGAAACACUAAUAAUGGGGUGAAUUGGAGUUUUUAGAAUUUCUUUCCAUUUUCUGUUCUUUGUCAGCCCUAUGUGUAUUUGUCACUAGAUAUGUUAAUACAAAUUUUGUCUUUUAACUCCCACUCACAUAGAACACUAUGAUUUUAUAUUGUUUGGCCCCUCACCAAAAUAUGUCCACUCUAGAGGAAGCUUUCCUCUAGUAUUCAUUAAUCCCUUUAGGAAUCAUAUAAAUACCUCAUGUUCAUCUCUUCAAAGACUUAGCCUUCUUAGGCCAAAACUGGCGAUUAACACCUUGGGACUAUGGAGGGCCAGAGUACAGAAGAUAGAGUUGAUGAUCGUGCUUAAAUUAGUUGGAGAAGAUGGUAUGAUGUUUUAGUACGACAAUGAUACCUGAGAGGAUGACUUGAAUUUUCGUGUAUUCAGUGCACUUUUGAUUCAUAAACCUUAUUUGAUAAGUAAAUCAUGAUCCUCUAAUAGUUUCCAGAUUCUAUUGGAUCUAUAAUGUUCAAAAUCUUCAUUCAAAUUUUUGUCAAUUUCCAGAAUGCAUAGUAACAAACUUUGAACCUUCUAAAAAUUGAAUUUUGUUAUUCCAUCAUUCUUGUUUAUUCAAAUCUGAACAUAAGUUUCCUAACUUGAUAUAGAAUAGUAUGAUUUUUAAGUAGGAUCCAAAUCAUCAUGUUUAUUUUGACUUUCAUCAAUGUAAGCAAAUGAUGUGUUACUAUGAAGACGUUGUGUUCUAAAGUUGAAUGUCUUUUUUUCCUAAUUCUUUUCAUGAUUGAAUCUACAAGAGAUCUUUAAAACAAAUUUCUAGAAAUUCUAGAUAUCUUCCAUUGAAUGAUGAUUCCUAACACAAAGAAUUGCUGAAUUUAAAGGAUUGAUAUCUUGGAUUUGAUUGUUAGUGAUAAGAUCAUGACAUAAUUAAAUACCUUUGCCUAACUCUAUUUUUCAUCUGAGCAUCCCAUAGGCUGCUUGCAUGAAAUUAAACUUUUUUAGGAAGCUCACCAUGCAGGAAUAUAAUGAUGACUUCAAUUAAGUUGCUAGAAGUUAGUAUUAUUCAUUUUUCCUUAUCAUGUGAUUGGCUUAGAACCCCCACCCUCACACGUGCUUAAGAUCUCACCAAUGAAAAGGAAAUACACCGAAUGCAUUCUUAGAACUGAUUUGGACUUGGACUUUAGUAUAGUUUGGUUUGGAGCUUGGAGGCCACUUUUCUUGUUAUGUGAUUCAUUACACUGUCGGUAGGCAGUAUACUUUUUUCCUUCUCUUUCUUCGUUUAUAUACAGGGAGAUGUGACCAUAGCUCGGCACCAUUUGAAGCCAAAGACAGCUUUUUUGUGAUCUCUAUAGCUCAUCUAUCUCUACACCUAAUGAAAUUAUGUGUGCAUUUGCCAAGAGAAGGCGAGAAGAGUCAUGAUUACUAUGUUCUUUCACUUCCAGAUUUAAACGAUGCAACAAUAAAUAGAAUUAGAAGUGAGGAUCAAGACUAGGCAUAAUAAGCUUUGAGGUCAUGAAUUUUUGGGUCAGAUAUAAGGUACUAAAGAACUGUUUAUUUGGAUGUUCUUAUUUCUUUUGUAAGAGCGAGAGGACAAAGGUAGGUCUACCAGAGUACUGUCACAGCAGAUGAUCAAGUUAAAAUGUAUUCUAUCUGUAGAGAUAUAAUGGUUUAAUAGCUGUUUAUUUGACCACUAUACUAUUAAUUGCUCCAGUUACUUUGAGAUUAUCCUCACACCAGGAAUAUUGAUGCUCUGUCAUAAAAAGGUAGCUACGAAGUUGAAUCUCGAUCCAGAAUUGAUUUACGUUUGACGUUGAAAAAACAAUGAACUUGAGAAAGUUUAUCCGUUGAGUGGUGAUCAGCUUGAGAAAUAAUGAGGUCAAUUAUAUCUUUGUAGUAAACAGUGAGGCAGAAGGAAAAAUACUAUAAAUCAGUUUGUCGUAAAGAAAUCAUGCUGAGACAAAAUCUAAACCAGUUUAUCUGAUUAAAACAGUAAAAUUAUUAUCAAAUAUACAAAAUAUUACGUUUUAAUUUGGAGUAUUUUUUACAUGUUUUUGAAGUUUAUUUUCAUACCUCAAUUGGAGUGUAGAUCGGAUCCGAACGACUAGGCCGCUUGAUCAACAUAAUACACAGAAAUGAAAUUAAGUUGGGGCCAAUAAUAGGUUAUCGAACCCACUAUUUUGUUCCUCGAUCAUGUUAAUCGUCGGCUCCAAUCUGGUCAAGCGCUGACUGUGAAAUUUAAAUGAGCAGGGAACGGUUGGGUUUAUUAACUAGGGGCCAGAUCGUGUCACAGUCACCCCGUUGUCUUUCAUAGUAUGCUAAUAAAGUAGGCUUCGAAUUCCAAAACACGUGGCGGGCCAGUACGAACACGGGAAGAGCUGACUCGGUGAUGGGCCCUUGAUGCCCUCCAUGCAAGGGAAUCUAGAUAGCAGCAAGCCUUCCCGAUGUCAAUUUCUUGGGGUUUUGAAAGCGUCCGACGGGAAGCAAGUCAAUGGAGGGAGAGAGAGAGAGAGAGAGAGAGAGAGAGAUAGAGACCGGCAGGUUUCAUUCUCUCGAGGUUAAAGUGAGAAUGGGGAGGAAAGAUCGUGGCUGAGAAUAAUUGAACAUAUAAACGUUAUUUUCGUAAAUUAAAUGUUUACAUUGAAUAACUGGUCAAAUUACGCAGUCGAAUUCAUUUCUUGACGCGUGGAAACGAGCAGGAAUAGUCCAAUAAAGGAAGCUGAUAUCUUUCCAGUUCUUGAUUACUGAGGUAUUGAACGAAACAAGCUAACUGGUUGGGCCUAUGACCUCGACUCACUGUCCUUGCAAGUUUAAAAACUAGCCUUGCAAGUGUGAAAACCAGGCCCAGAAACGGCUUUGUCUCUUUCAGAAUGCCACACCGCCGUGGAAAUGCCAUAUUUCCUGGAUGGUUUAUGCUGGUAUCUUUGUUUGACUUCUGCAAGUUGUUCGAUGGAAACAAGCCCAUAAAGAGCCUUCCCUCUCCCCGUUGUAGACACGAAGCCAUACCACAGCGAUGGCAGCGUGUGAGUUACGCUUGUCCUCCGCCCUGUUUUCGCUGAUCGUGUUUUGCUUUGGCGGACAAGCCCAUGGGGAGAGCACCUUCGCAGCUCUCGAAGUUACGAGCUUGGUACCCUCCCUCAGUUGUUCUCCGUCCAAAGGUUGACUCCCUCAACCAAUUUCUGUCCGAAAAAUUUCAGAAUAGUCUCUCCUUUCAAGAGCUGGAUUUCUUCAACCAUUUUCUGUGCGCUCUAUCGAGAUUUCUUAUAAAAUUAUUCUUUCAAGUCCUAAACAUGUAGGUUAUAAAGACAUAUGAAUCAACAUAACUAAAAGUUUCAGUAUGACUCUGACCUAUCCAUCUCUUGCAGCCCCCAGCCGCAGCUCUCUCCAGGUAGUCCACCGCAACGGUCCUUGCGUGGCCAAGUCUGUCAGCAAACCCAGCCACCUUCAAACUCUUGCCCAAGAUUCCUUGCGAGUCGCUUCACUACAGGAAAUAGUUUCCGGCGUCUCCCCUGGUAACGAUACACUACUCCUGGGAAGCCAGGUCUCCAUCCCGGCGAGGAGUGGCCUGUACCUCGGCACAGGUAACUACGUCGUUACCGUCGGUUUCGGCACCCCGAGGAGGGCCCAGACCGUCAUCUUCGAUACCGGCAGCAACGUAAACUGGAUUCAAUGCAGGCCCUGCGUCGUGUCCUGCUACCGGCAGCAGGAACCCGUGUUUAACCCCGCGCUAUCCUCCACCUAUCGCAAUGUCAGCUGCACAGCGUCCGCGUGCGAUCAGCUUACCAGUAGUCGUUGCUCGGGCACCACCUGCCUUUAUGGUGUGUCCUACGGUGAUGGAUCCUCCACAGCUGGAUUCCUCGCCACGGACACCUUCACGCUGACAUCCAAUAACGUGUUCAAGAACUUCAUAUUUGGUUGCGGCCAGAACAACCAGGGGCUCUUUGGGAGGGCCGCCGGGCUGAUCGGGCUCGGACGCAGCCGAUUCUCGCUUAAUUCGCAGGUGGCCAGCAGGCUCGGCAACAUCUUCUCCUACUGUCUUCCAUCUACGAUCAGCUCUACUGGCUUCUUAAACAUCGGCAAACCAUUGGCGAGCGCAGUACGGUAUACGCCCUUGCUGACAGAUUCACGCGCGCCAGAUUUCUACUUCAUUGAUCUUAUUGGAAUAACCGUCGGAGGUACGAAGCUGCCGGUGUCGGCGACCAUCUUCCGAUCUGCUGGCACGAUUAUAGAUUCUGGGACGGUGAUCACCCGCCUGCCACCUGCGGCGUACAGCGCACUUCGGACGGCCUUCCGCGCGGCCAUGAGUCGGUACCCACGGGCUCCGGCGGUCAGUAUACUGGACACUUGUUAUGACUUCAGUAAAGCGGCAAAUGUAACAUAUCCGGUGAUCAAGCUCCUGUACUCCGGUCUGGAAGUCACGCUCCCGGCUACAGGAGUGUUCUAUGUCAUCAGCUCCGCUCAGGUCUGCCUGGCGUUCGCGGGGAACUCGGACUUCUUCGAGAUCGGGAUAAUCGGCAACGUUCAGCAGAGGACGUUUGAAGUUACCUACGACAAUAUAGCGAAAAGGAUCGGGUUCUCCGUGGGGGCGUGCAGCUAAAUCGGCGCGGAGCUUCGACGGGGUCUCCGAAUUCUGGAAAAAAAAAUCAGAUCGUGUUCUGUGAUGCUCCGAAAUCGACUAAAAUUACGGCCUUUUCUCGUAACUUUCCUCUUCUGUUGCGUCGAUAUAUAUCUGAAUAAGCUGGUCAUAGCACAGAUUUGCGACGUCGAUGACUACUAUGUCGGAAUAAUCAUGCAUCUGGUGCAAUUGGAUUGAGAUUGUCAGCCUGUGCCCACAAAUAUGCGAUCCCAUAGGGCUGCGGAGGGGGGAUGGAUGGGGUUAUGAUUGGGGGUCAUUCAUGUGAACUCCUGGGUGUACGGUUCGUUUGGAAAAUGAAUUAGACAACCAUGGAGUCCCUUAAUGUCAACAGCCGACGAAGGAAAAAGGACAUGUCUUUGGCAGAGGAAAACAGAGCUCGAUCUGGUUGGAGACAGUUAUAUUAUAAACGGAAGAAAACUAAGUUUGACCCGCGGCAUUGUUUUCGGACGCAUAUUACUUUGGAAUAUCAUUCGGUACAAAAACUUUGGAAUGUACUUCGCAUUCAUCCGAUAAAAACAAAAAAACAACCGAUGAAAUGAAUCAACAAACCUCUAAAUGGGAUGUUGAAUUCGCGCAAUAACGGAUUGUAAUAUAUGUUUCCUUGACCAUCAAAAUUUCGGUGCAGGAUUUAGUCAUCGUGGAAUAAUAAAUAAGAAAGCUGAUCGCAAUAAAGUCGACCUACCGUCGCCGGCGGCGGCAGAACAACAGUUUUGCCACUGGGCUAAGGAGAGCAUUAACCUUGCCACUGGGCCAAGGGUUCGUCCAUGAAAAGCUGGGUAGCAGCCCAAAACUACGUUUAGAAUGUGCGGUUAUUGGAUCGGCAGAGCCAGUCGUAAGGCCAGCGCCUCCGCCAUACCAGAAGGAUUCCCACCUUCCAAUUCUAUCAUGUACAGAUGAUAUUAUAUGAACGUUUUAAAAAAUAUUUAAUACUGAAUUAUUCAACUAAAUUCAUACCGCACAGUCUACUGCAUAUGCUUUACUAAGUACUAAAUAAUAUACUUUGAAAGCUAUACUUUUAUAUAUUGAUAUAUUGAAUAAGAUGCCUUCUUGACGUCCUAUUUUAUUUUAGGUGACUUGAAUUGGUUUUAUUGCUUAAAAAAUAUUUUAAUAAGACAUAUUCAGGAUUCAUAUUAUUGGAUACUCAUUGAAAUGACUUUAUCUGAUGUAACCUGAAAAUAUAUGCUACAUGUUAAUGGGAUUGCUUAGUGGCUAAUGUAAAUAUAUCUGAGCUAGUUAGUAGGCUUAUCAUUUUUGUCUCUCAAAUAGAUGUUAGUAAAAUUUGUCGAAAUCUGAGAUGAGUUUUGUACGUGGUGUACCCAUAGAUAUCACAUAGUUUGAAUCACAAACUAAGAAAAAAAACAUGGUUAUCUCCUGAAAACGUUAAUUAGCCCCCAAGCUGUUUAGCUAAUAGGCAAAAACCUAUUAGCUAAAGCACCUCAAUCAUUUGACAACUGUAUUUCAACUGUAUUUCUAGCUUUCAACUGUAUUUCUUAAACUAUUCAAAGCUGAAGCACCUCAAUCAUUUGACAACAUUCCUAUGGUGAAGACAACGUUCCUAUGGUCAAGACACCUUAAAUCAACCUUACAUUAUUGGAAAUAAACUACGAUGAAACCUUUCAUACUUUUUGUGACAUAAGCUUGUGAUUAAUUUUGUUUAGUUUCUAUUAUAGUAGAAGUUCCAAUUAGAUGAUUAAACAUAGAAGAAUCUGAAAUAAAUAAUUAUUAUUGGAUUGUGGACAUGGGUAAUAUUUGAAACCAGUAACAAAUAUUUUAGUUACUGGUUUAUGUGCUGGCUUAAGGACCCAUGACAAAAAACUGAUUGGUCAAAUGUGCUGGCUUCUUGAAGGAGGGCUCAAAGGAUAAGAUGGCCCAAAAUCAGAUUAGACCUACAUCUCCCUGACUUCCCAUUCAGCCCUCCAUCCAUCUUCCCGACUUCAGCCAAACUUUAUCACUUUUCUUUUUCCAUGAAAUGUUAAACUACAGGAUUUUCAAUUUUGCAUUCAGUGAAAAUUUCUAUUAAAUAAAUUCAUUUCUCAAUAUGAGCAGCUUUAUAGGGUCUUUAAAUGGUCCAAUCUUAACCAAGUGUGAGGAUCCAUUGUGAGGCCUUCUUGGGCUUAUUACUAUUGUUUUAAAAUAUUGAAGAUCUAGCGGAAUAGUCUCUAAGGUAAUCUUACAUUUCAGUAAAGUGAUUUAAAAUAUAUGGACAUUUUAGACAUAAAAAAUUAAUUUUUAUAUAGAAAUCUAUAAAUAUUGAAACCUAAAAUUUAAAUAUGUCCAAUCUGAGGUUACUGCAACAUAUGCUACAUUGAACAGAAAUAUUUUUAUAGCAGUUUUGUUUGAAUGUAACUGAUGCAGGGAAAUUAUGUGAUUAUCCCAUUGUAAGGCAUUCUUUAUGUCAUUAAUAAUUUAUUGGGAACUUUUAGACAACAAUAGUCUAUGAGCGAAUCAUACACUUCGAUUAUCUCAUUAACAUAUAUUGCUGCACUAGAGGUACAGUAAAGUAGUUUUUAUUAAAAAAACUGAAAAUAUAACUACGUGUGAUUUAAUAUCAUCCUAUGUGAGGUUUCGCAAAUGCAUGACACAUUGAAGUUAUAUAACUUUGUAAAACUUUAUCUGAAUAAACUUGAUUCAGGUCUAUUAGGAGGAUUAUCCCAUUGAAUGGCCUUCAUAGUACUUUCUAAUACUUUGAAGAUGCAAUAGAAGUCUGAGGAAAUAUUAAACUUCAAUUAUGUCAUUGAAAUAUAUGGAGAUAUUAGCCUAACAAUGAAUUCGUUUUUAAUUAAAAAAGUAUAAAAUAUUGGAAUCUACAAUUUAGUUAUAUGCAAUGUGAGGUCAUUGUAACACGUGCUACAUUGAAGUUAUAGAAUUUUAUAACGGUUUGUUUCAAAAAUAAUUGACAUAGGUCAAUGCUCGUUAGUCUAAUCUCGCAAUAAAUGAGGGAGAAAUAAUUCAUCAAAGUCAUUGAUGCUCUACUUAGAUUGGUUAUUUGAUGGUGAAAUCUACAAUAUCUUGAUAACUACCAACUAUAAUAUUGUCCAACUCGCAACAAGUCAAGCUGUUAGCAUAUCAAUGGAGAGCACGUCAAACCUAAACAUGAUUUGAUUGGUCCUCCCCACGACGCAAGAGAAAGAGAGAGAGAAAGACAGGGAGAGUGGGAGAGGGAGAUCGAGAGGGAGAUAAGGGGAGGGAAAGAGGAAGUGAUGGGAGAGGAAGAUGUAGAGGGAGGGAGAGAGAGAGAGAGAGAGAGAGAGAGAGAAGUGGGGCAAAGAGAGGGCAAGAUGGAAGGAGAAUUUAACCAUGUCAAGAUUAUUAUAUUAAAUUAAUCAUAAACUUUGAAGACAUUAAAUUUAGGGAAAGAGAGACGCAUGGAAAACGGAUAAAAUGGACUAGGAAGAAAAUAAUUUUGCUAGGUUUCUUAUUUAAAAUAUGUUCUUCUCUGUAAUAUUUCCUGCAAUGAGAAUAAUCAGACCAACUGUUAUGAUUAAUCCAACCAUUCAAGAAAGGAUUUUUACGGUCGUUAACGCACAAAAAGUGCUUGCGCAUUUGUCUCAGACACGGGUACUAAAGAGAAAUAGUGCUUUAAGAACUUACUUUAUGCCUCACUAUCUCUGAAGUCAUCUUCUAUAUUCGAUAACCUAGUUGAGCGUCGGGACGUAGAUAUCUGAUAUAAAUUUUGCGAUUAUGUUCAACCGAUUCAGUUGACAACAGAAGGGGUGGACCGAUUCUUUUUCUACACGUGGCGAGUGUGGUUUCACGGAUGUGGUACAUUUCUAGUCUUGAUAAUCCGUUGUGUGGAACACUUAGAUGGAGGACAAGCUUUGGCAACCUACCCUUAGAAGAGGAAGCGCACACAUCUUUUUUUUGGAUUUUUUUCGUUUAUACAUUUUUUUAUAAAAACUACGUUGGAGCGUUUCUCAAUCCCAUUCCGUGGAUCUCUAAAGUUUUAUGUUUAAACAACUAGAUAAAAUCGUUGUUUCAGAUUGUCUUCAUGUUUGUACAGUCAUAUACGUUCUAGUUUUUAUAGAGUAGCUCUUCCCGGUGAAGUAGAGCGUCCCCCGAACCGCGUAAAAUAUAAUCUCCCCUUCAUUUCUCAGUUGAAUACUCCACUAUUUUCUAUAUUCUCGUUGCUAAAUCGGUUUAAGUACUCUUGCGAAUGAAGAGGUGUCACGCGUGUCAACAACCUCAGCGUGGGUUCGUACCUUUCCCAAAACAAUUUGCACGAAACUUAGUGUCGGGAGACCUAACACAUUCAUAAAUACUUGCAUGUGCGUCGCCCAAUUUGGAAAUUCAAGUGCUUAUAUAUUUAUUUAAAGAGACGCCUACAAUGAGUCGACUCAUUGACUUUUCAACUUCGAAGAACUGGCCCAGAAACCGUCUUGUCGCUUUCAGAAUGCACAUGCCGCCAUGGAAACGUCAUAUUUGCGGGAUGAUUGAUGCCGGUACGUUGCUUCGAGUUCUACGUGUCUGCGAGAACCGAGCCUAUAAAAAUCCUCUCUCAGUUCGGUGUCGACGCCAACCAUACCAGAGCGAUGGCAGCGUGGGCGUCCUUUCUGUCCUCCGGCCUGUUGUGGCUGAUCCUUUUCUCGUCUGGCGGACAGGCCUAUGGGCAGAGCACCUUCGGAACCGUCAGAAUUACGAGCCUGGUAGCCUCUGCCAGUUGUUCGCCGUCCAAAGGUUGACCGUUUUUUGGCUGGUCUACUGAGAUUUCCUAUAUUCAUAUCUAAAGUCGUAAAGCCAUGUAUUUUAAAAGCAUGUGAAUCAGUAUGAUCCAGGAUCACGGUAGAAAUCUGACCCAUGUAUUUGUUCCAGCUCCCAGUCACAGCUCUCUGCAGGUCGUCCAACGCAACGGUCCUUGCGCAGCCAGGUUCGUUAGCAAACCCAAUCACCUUCAAGCUCUCGCCCAGGAUUCCCUGCGAGUCGCUUCACUCCAGGCAAUAGUUUCCGGCGUCUCUCGCGGGAACGAUACACUGCUCCUUGGAAACCAGAUCUCCAUACCGGCGAGGAGUGGCCUGUACCUCGGCACCGGUAAUUACGUCAUUACUGUCGGUUUUGGAACCCCGACGAAGAGCCAGACCGUCAUCUUCGAUACCGGAAGCAACGUGAACUGGAUCCAGUGUAAGCCGUGCGUUGUAAGCUGCUACCCGCAGCAAGAGCCGUUGUUCGAUCCCGUCCUCUCGUCUACCUACCGUAAUGUCACCUGCACGGCUUCCGCGUGCCUCGGACUUAGCAGCAGAGGUUGCUCGGGCACCACCUGCCUCUAUGGGGUGACCUACGGCGACGGAUCCUCCACCGUCGGAUUUCUCGCCACGGAUACUUUCAAGCUGACCUCCACCAGCGUGUUCAACAACUUCAUAUUUGGGUGCGGCCAGAGCAAUGGGGGACUCUUCCGGGGGGCCGCCGGGCUGAUCGGGCUCGGACGCAGCCCCUACUCGCUGAACUCGCAGGCGGCCAGCAGGCUGGGCAAUAUCUUCUCCUACUGUCUCCCUUCCACAAGCAGCUCCACCGGCUACCUCAACAUCGGCAAUCCGUUAAAAACUACAGUUGCUUACACGCCGCUGCUGACCGAUUCACGCGCGCCUACCCUCUACUUCAUUGACCUCAUUGGAAUUACCGUAGGGGGAACACCGCUUCAAUUGUCGCCGACCGUCUUUCAAUCCGUCGGGACAAUCAUCGACUCCGGGACUGUGAUCACCCGCCUACCCCCUACGGCGUACAGCGCACUUCGGACGGCCUUCCGCGCCGCCAUGACACGGUACCCAACGGCUCCGGCGGCUAGUAUACUAGACACUUGUUAUGACUUGCGUAACGCGGCGACCGUGACGUAUCCCCAGAUCAAGUUAUUAUACAGAGGUAUCGAGGUCACGCUUCCAUCGACCGGGGUGUUCUACGUCAUCAGCUCCGCACAGGUCUGCCUGGCGUUCGCCGGGAACUCGGACUCCACCCAGAUCGGCAUCAUUGGCAACGUUCAGCAGAGGUCGUUUGAGGUGACCCAUGACAAUGUUGCGAAAAGGAUCGGGUUCUCAGCCGGGGCUUGCAGCUGAUUCCCCGCGGAGCGCCUUGGUUGUUUCCGAAGUCUGGAAAAAAGAUCGGAUUGCUUUCUUUGAUGCACUGAAAUGGAUUGAAUCUGUGGCUUUUCUUGUGGAUAUUCUCUUUGUGAGCGGCGAUAUAUUUGAAUAAGUCUGUCAUAGCAUAUAUUCUGCGUCACCGAUGGCCACUCUUUCGAUAUCGUCUUGCAUUUGGUGCAAUUGAGUUGGGGCUGUUAGCCUCUUCGACAGGUAAGACAAACCCCCCUCGGUUGUGGAUGAGGGAUGCAGGGGGACGACCGGGGGGCAUGAUGUACCUUUAUAUGAACAGCUGAGAAAGGAAGGAGGGACGUGCGUUUGCUAGAGGAAGAAACCGCUAGUUCUUCGUGAAGUUGGUGAGGUUAUCAACUGAACAGAUCUUCGGUUGACCCCCAGGAUUUUUUCUGACCCACCCAACGUUAUUGAGUAUUCCUUGAAUUAUCAUUCAACUCGUCUAACAUUAAAAUGGGUUUAGCCUUUAGAUCAUCGCAAAAACAGCGGCUAAGCCGAUGAAGAGCGACCUUUGGAUCAAUCAGCAGACUGGUAGCUAAACUUCCCACUAUAACCGCUUGUAAGUUAUGUUUCCUUCUAAAUAAAACUUUUAAUCAGGAGUCAUUCGUAUUGUAAUAAAAAAUAAUAAAGAUGUUCACAAUGAAAUAGAUACUAAACAACGACCAUGCCACUGGGUUUAGCUUCAUGAACUGGGCUAAGGUCUGAUCCAUGGAGAGCUGUGAACAGCCCAAAACCAUCCUGAUCUAGCUGACCGGAAUGUAAAGGCUUUUUAAAGCUUCACGAAGAAUGCGACGCGUCAAGUUUUCUGGGACUUAUUGGAUCGGCAGGGCCGCUCGUAUGCAAGUGUCUUUCCCUACGUAAACGGUUCCCACCUUCCACCCCUGCACCUCCGGAAUCGAUUUGCCCAAAACUCUUCGUUGAAAAUUGGCAAGAUUGGCAUUCUAAUAGUUGACGGAUGCCAUUUGAUAGAAAUUUUCCUUAGACUUUCUGGAACUUCCAAGGCUAUUAGUCUUGGGGUACACCAUAAAGAUGACAUGAGCUAGACCUAGCAUAUUGACACGUAUUAUUGGAUUGUGAGAAAAGUAUGGGAAUGCAAAUUGAAGAAUUCGUCUCAUUUCAUUAUGUCAAACGUUCUAUGAUAUGAUUUAAAGUUUCUGUGUGAAAUUUUUUACUAAAUAAAGUUUAAUUAUCAAUAUGAUUUGAGCAGCUGUGGGUUUUUCUGAUCUGUAAAUGAUGUUAUAAAUGUAAUAGAAGGAAUUAUAUGCUACAUUUGAAAUACUAGGUCUUUUUUAAGGCCUUAUUUAUUUUUGAGCACUUUAUUAAAAUAUUUAUUAUAUAAUAGAAUAUGCUACGAGCAAGUCAUACAAUUCAGUUAUGUCGCUGCCAUGUACGUAGAUGUUAGACUUGAAAUGAAUUAGUUUCUAUGUCAAAAAUCUACAAACAUAGAAGCCUAAAGCUAAACUACAUUCAAUUCAAUGUGGAUCUAACCUGUGGUGCAUUGAGGUUUUAGGGCAGCAUUAAUCUAAUGCCUUGAUUAAAUAGUGGAAUAAGAAGCACAAGACACAAUAUUCUUUAGAAGAAUAAGGUUUGAAUGGCAUGGAUUGAAUUUUGGUGAAAAAAACUUAAAACACCUUAUAAUGGCUAUCGAAAGGAGAGGCUACGUUCCAGUACAAUUGAGAACACAAGAUAUCUAAGAAUAAAAGAAAAUUAACUCGUAACGGAGCCACAAAAGGGGGAGAUGCAAGAUCCCAAAUUUUUGCUAUUGGAGAGAAAGGGUUUACGUGUUCAUUCUUCUCUCCAACGAUCCCUCUUAUUUAAUAAUCUCUCGCACAAAGGGGGCUUCUCCGGACCCGUUUUUGAUAUAUGAAAUAAAACAAACGAGAAAGGGGAGACGUCCCAGAAAACUUCUCCCAGUUAAUUGACAAGGUCAACCUAACAGAUGUUAUGUACUUUUAUAUCAUUUCAUUUCAAAAAAAUUGCUGCAGGUCAAAUCACCAUUUGUUAGACUAAUGGCACAUUUAAAUGAGGGAAGUAAAGAGUUGAUAACAGUCAGUGAUGAUGCAUUGGAUUGCUGAUCAUUAUUAUUUUUUCUGGAGGGAGAGUUUGAAGUGUUAGCAUUACUACCAUAACUUCAUCACAAACUUUUAAGACUAGUUCGAAUUUAGAUAGAGUGACCGCGUUGAAAGUCAUUGUAACGUGGUACGCAAAUACGCUUAGUGAUUUCUCAUUUCACAUAUGUUAUGCUCUGUGGAAAAUCCAUGCAAUCAGAAUAACUAGACCAACCGAAUUGAUUAAUCCAGCCGUUCAACAGACACAAGGACGUCUUCCCAAGGAUGUUGGCCGUCGUUAAUGGACUAGAGAUAAUUAAUGCGUUUGUCUCAGACACCCGGUCACAAAAGAUAAAUAGUGGCUAUAGAACUUCGGUUUUUUCUCACUUUCUCUGAUGUUUUCUUCCUCAUCUUUAACUCGUUUUAGUUUCAGGACAUACGGAUGCGAGAUAAGUUUAACGAUUUUUCAUCAUCGUUUCACUAGACGAUAUUAGGGCUCUCUGAUUAUUUCUCUUCUCAUGAUGAGUGGGGUGUCAGGGUGCGGUUCGUCCGUUGUCCGUUGAAUCUACUCUGUGAACCCAACUGGAGGCAGGAAGGCAUGCUUUCGGAAUCUUCCUCUACGGAGCGGAGAUGCACGCAUCCAUUUUGGUUUAUACUUUCUUCUGUAUUAUACUGUAGCGUCUUUCAAUCUGAUUUAGUAAAUUUCUGAAGUUUUUUCUUCUAUCAGCCCGAUUAAAUGGUUUUUUUUCAUUUUUUUAUGUUUGUAGAUUCUUAUGAAAAGGAAUCUAGAACGUCCCAUGAACGGCGUAAAAUAUUAUCUCCUCUUCACUGUGUUGAUUCGUCUUGUAUUUUGGAUAUUCUCGUAGCUUAAUUGGUUCAUAGAUUCAUGCCAAGAGAGGGGAUCUAGACGUUAGGCGACUAACUGACCUCAUCGUGCGUUCGUACCUUUCCCGCAACAUUUUCUACAAAAGGCACAAAGCGUCUGGAGCCCUAACAGAUUUAUAGAAUCUCUCAUGUGCACCGGUGACAUCGGAAAUUCAAGGACUUAUUUACUUCAAGGGAUGUCUCGACCUACUGGCUUUGUAGGUUUGAAGAACUAGCCCGAAACUGCCAUGUCAUUUUCGCCCAUACAGCCAUGGAAUCGUCAUAUUUGCGAGAUCAUUCACGCCGGUACGUUGCUCUGGCCUUGGAAAGUUGUCUGCACGAAGCAGGCCUAUAAAAAGCGUGUCUCGACCCGGGGUCUACACUAAGCCAUACCACAGCAAUGGUGGCGUGUGAGACCCUGAUGUUCUCUUUUGGCACGCAGGCCCAUGGGGAGAGAAACUUAGCAGCCGUCAAAGUUAGGGGCCUGGCGCCGUCCGCCAGUUGAUCCCCUCAACCAGCUUCCGCCGGAGGCCGGUAGGAUUUAAAAAAAAACUGUCAUAUGCGUCGGCGACGCUGGAAAUUCAAGGACAUUUAAAAAAAUGUCUCGAUCCACUGCUUGCAAGUUUGAGGAAUUAGGCCAGAAACGGCCUUGUCGCUUUCACUACGUCCAUGCCGUCAAUAGGAAAUGGGUAAUUUUGGGGAUAAUUCACGCCGGUACGUUGUUUUGACCUCAGCAGGAAGAAAGCCUAUAAAGAUCGUUUUCUCCCCACAGGAUGGACCCACAACCAUACUACAGCAAUGACAGCGUGUGCAUCCCUCUUGUCCUCCGUCCUGUUCUGUCUGAUCCUGUUCUCCUUUGGCGGUCAAGCCGACGGGGAGAGCACCUUCCUCACCGUUGAGGUUACGAGCUUCGUACCCUCCGCCGAUUGCUCCCCGUCCAAAGGUUGUGAGUCUUUUUCGGCUGGUCUAAUCACACUGAUAAUCAUAUCGAAAGUUAUAACUAUGCAUAUUGAUCAAUACUAAUGAAUCAAAUAAUGAAAAGUCUCGGUACUAGUCUGACAUAUCGAUCUCUUGCAGUACCCAGCCACAGCUCCCUCCAAGUCGUCCAACGCAACGGUCCUUGCGCAACCAAGUCUGUCAGCGAACCCAGCCACCUUCAAGCUCUCGCUCUGGAUUCCCUGCGAGUUGCUUCAUUGCAGGAAAUAGCUUCCGGCGUCUCCCGUGGUAACGAUACAUUGCUCCUUGGAAGCCAGAUCUCCAUCCCCGCAUGGAGUGGCCUGUACCUAGGCACCGGCAAUUACGUCAUUACAGUAGGGUUUGGCACCCCAGCGAGGACCCAGACCGUCAUCUUCGAUACCGGCAGCAACGUAAACUGGAUCCAGUGCGAGCCUUGCGCUGUAAGCUGCUACCCGCAGCAAGAACCGUUGUUCGAUCCGGGACUCUCAUCAACCUACCGUACUGUCUCCUGUACGGCGCGCGAAUGCCUCAGACUAACCAGCAGUAGUUGCGCGGGCACCAGCUGCGUUUAUGGGAUGAAAUAUUUUGACGGAUCCGCCACCGUUGGAUACCUCGCCACGGAUACUUUCACACUGACGUCCACCAACGCGCUCAGCAACUUCAUAUUUGGGUGCGGCCAGAACAACACAGGGCUAUUUAAGGGGGCCACCGGUCUAAUCGGGCUUGGACGCAGCCCCUACUCGCUGAAUUCACAGGCGGCCAGCAGCCUGGGUAAUGUCUUCUCCUAUUGUCUCCCUUCCACAGGCGGCUCCACCGGCUAUCUCAACAUCGGCAAUCCGUUGGGAACUACCGUUUUUUACACGCCGAUGCUGACCAGUUCACGCGCUCCUACCCUCUACUUUAUUGAUCUCAUUGGAAUUGCCGUAGGGGGGACACAGCUUCCAUUGUCACCGACCGUCUUUCAAUCUGUAGGGACAAUCAUAGACUCCGGGACGGUGAUCACCCGCCUACCCCCUGCGGCGUACAGUGCACUUCGGGCGGCCUUCCGCGCCGCCAUGACGCGGUACCUCCUGGCUCCGGCGACUAGUAUACUGGACACCUGCUAUGACUUCCGUGACGUGGAGACCGUGACAUAUCCGGAGAUCAGGCUCCUGUACACCGGUCUCGAGGUCCCGCUUCCGGCGACAGGGGUGUUCUACGUCAUCAGCUCUGAACAGAUCUGCCUAGCGUUCGCCGGGAACUCGGAUUCCAUCCAGGUCGGCAUCGUUGGCAACGUUCAGCAAAGGACGUUCGAGUUGACCUACGACAAUAGUGCGGAAAGGAUCGGGUUCUCAGCUGGGGCAUGCAGCUGAUUUGCCGCGGAGCGUCAAGGGGGUCUUUGAAGUUCAAAAUAAGUUCCACAUCGUCUUAUAUCAUGCACUGAAGCUGCGUGAAUUUGCGUCUUUUUCUCAUAGUUGUGCUCUUUCUGUACGGGGUAUAUAUCUGACUAAGUUGGUUUUAGAACAUAUUAUGAGUCAUCGAUGACUGUACUAUCGAGUUCAUUCUUGAUUGAAUGACAUUUAUAUUAGCUGAGUGAACGUGGUAGACGAAAUAAAUUCUGGAAUGGAUUUUGCUGCCGGCAGGUAGAGCGCAAAAGCAGAGUUGGGGAACAGAAUGGAUGUGAUAUUUACGUCGCAGUGCCUGCUUAGCAUAAGAGACGGGCAAGCAACCAGAUAUCGGAAGAACGACAACCUUUAAAUCAGUGAGAUAACGCUUGAACGGUACAUUACUGUUCAACUGUAACGAUUCUCAAUCCCUUUUUCCAUGAACAUAGUUUACAUUUACAUUUAAUUUACGAUCCCGGUUGCUCUGUUCAGUGGCCCUCUCCAGUAGAUCUCGGCUGAAUAGAGGAUAUUUGGCUUUGCUUAUGGAACUAAAGUAAGGUUGAUCCAUGUGAAGAUUAAGCUUCGACAAGUUAUGCCCAAACCUACGGCUUAACAAAGGUACUAGGCCUUUCUGUCAUUGGGCCAAAACUUCCACUCUACUGUCGAGCGGUUUUCUGCCCACAACGGUCAUCCAGUCUGGGCCACAACGGACCGCGGUUCCUCCAGUUCACUUGAUACGAUACCCGAUCCGCCACUCCACUGUGAAUCAUUUCCUGAUCCGCCUCCCAUUGGCGCGGAUCCACUCCACGAUCCCGGAUCCGAAAGCUUCUGGUGUGACACUUUUCCAACGGAAUUAAUGGGCCGUGCUCUCCCAAGUGGGAGCCCCUCCCGCUUAGAAAAAUAGUUUUCACCUUCCAGCUGCCAUCUCUGUAUUUUAUAAUCGGCAGUGAUGAUCUAAGAAAAGAUUUCAGGUCUUUCGUCCCAUAAAAAAUUUUGAUUCUUAGGCUUGGAAGAUUAUCAGCCUUGGGAUGCAAAAAUAAACGUGCAUUUCCCCACUAGUUUGGCAUUUUUUUGGGAUGUUGUGUCAAAGGAAGAGAAGACUGUCCAUAGUCAACAACCGUAUUAUUUUUGUUUUAAAGAACUGUUAUUUUUAUUACACUUUCAGAUAUCUAAUAUAUAUAUAUAUAUUAGGUCUGAUUAUCUUCAUUAGCCAAUGAGGAUAUUUCACAAACAUUGUAGCCAUUUUGGUUAUCUUAAAAAAGUUGAAAUGAAAGUGUUAGAAAGACGAUGAAUGAUAGGUGUAGGCUACACCAAUCAUGAUCAAUUGAUCAUCAGAUCGAUGAUCAUGAUCAAUCGAUCACUGAUGAUGAUCAGUGUUAAUGGUCAUGAUCACAAUCACGAUACGAGUCCUUGAUCGAUCGUCGAUCAAUCGACAGAUUGUUAUCCUACAGUUAAGCUUCUUUUGGAUGAUGAUUUUCCAUCAUCCAAUGGCUAUGAUUCAACCUAGGGGAGAGAUUAAUUAUUAUAUUAUAUCAUAAUAUAAUAAAAUUAUACUAUAAUAUAUUAUAUUGUUAUACUAUAAUAACAAUCGACAAUCAUUGACUAUAUAUUAUAUCAUCGAUCACAAUAACCGACAAUCACGAUUAGGAAUUUUGGCUGAUCAGAUCGACGAUUGAUCAUGAUGAUCAACAAACUCUAAGCGAAUGGGGUGAGACAUGGGAAACUACUUGUUAGGUAGAGAACCUCGUCAAAUACUUUUAUUGUUAAUCCUAAUAGGAGACGACAAUGGAGGGACACUUUUAUUGGCAUUACUAUGUUUUCCAUCACACUUGAGACCUCAUUGCCCUCCACAAGUUCAAUAAAGAGAUCUAGUUGUAACCAAGUAUGGAAUCGAUACUCUAGCUAGAGAGGAAAGAGAAAUCAAGCACAAAGGAUCAAUGUACCUUGCCUAAGGGCUAAUGAUCUUUUAGAGUACCAUAUAAUAAUAAGAAUGAAAUAUGGCUGAACAUAUUUUUGCAUCGCAAGCUACAAUUAGAGAUAUAACUUUUAGUAUGAGCAAUAUGUUAAGCUUGCAGACAGUCCAAUCAAAUUUUGUCUCACGGAUUGACCUCAUGACUAAAAUCAGUUUAAAAUACUAAGGAAAACCUAAUUUAUUAGUCAAGUCAGUACCAAGUCUUGUUUAUAAUCAUGCGCUUUCAACUUAUGGUGUCCGCUUACUUUAGUUUACAAGGUAAAUGGGGAAUUAUGUUGUUGAAGGAUACACUGAUCUCUCCCUUGUGAAAAAGCCUCAAAAGGAGUUGAUCUUGGACAAGAUGAAAUGACUAGAGUAACCUUAAAGAAGCAACCUAGAACAACUCUCACAUUGAGUCUAUAAGUUUUCAAAGGAGAUGAAGAUACAACUAAGUGAUUGUCCUACAAGAAUUAAAAAAAAAAUCAACAUGAUUAAAAAAUUUCUGGGGAUUAGAAUGCUCUACUAAAAAAAAAUUGAUUACCAAAAUUAAGGGGUACUCAGCCAGCUAUGACAAUAAGUUGACCUAUCUAUGUAUCAUUCAAGAGCAAAUCUAAGGGCAAUGUACUAAAUAAAUAAAAUACUCAUUCUGAAAGAAAAAGGACACAAAGCUUAUCUCAAUGUCAAAGUAGGUGUUUUUUCUAAGGAGCAGAUGUUGAUGGUGAAUCCUUAUCUAUUGAUUGUUGACUAUGUUGACUAUUGACUAGACAAUGAUAAUUGACUAUCGAAUGGGUGACCCCUAAUUAACUGACUGUUGACCGACAGUGAUGGAACUGCUUUACAAUUUGGCCCUCAAAAUUUCUCUGAGUGACUUGGGUUUUUUGUAUCCAAGUGGUUCCAAUCUAGCAAAAUCUGGACUAGUUCAAAUUGGGUAGUAAUGCCAUGGUUCAUUGUAGGUUAAUGAUGCAUUCAAUUUUAACUUGAUAAUUAAAAUCAUAAAAUAUAAUUCUGAAAUAUGUUGUAAAUCUAUGUCAAAUCCUUGUGGAUGAUUUGAUUUAUUUUUAAUUCAAAUGUCAUCUUCUACGAAGGUAAAUGAUUUUUAGAAUAAUUAAAUGAAGAUUUUUAAGAUAAAAUAUUUUUUAAAGAAAUAAAAACGUAAGUACAAAAAAAAAGGAACUAAAUGAAAAUAGAAGCUAUGAUUUCACAUGAAUCUCUAGUAUCUCGCUCAAGUUGAUGAUGUCAUGUCAAACUUGCAGGGCUGAAGAUAUACAUGUGUGCUAGAGAGAUAGAUAGAUAGAUAGAUAGAUAGAUAGAUAGAUAGAUGGAUAGAUAGAUGGAUAGAUGGAUANNNNNNNNNNNNNNNNNNNNGAGAGAGAGAGAGGGAUAACAUAUAAAUGGAUGCUUGGUUUUAGCCUCCACUAUGAUCUAGAAAAGGGGAUUGAAUUGAUAUCUUUUUCUUUUCUAAUUAUAUAUUCUUAAAAUAGAGUCCAAUCUAUAUAACAAUAUAUUUUUUUAUUCACUUCCAAUACCUCCAUUCCUAGUGGUUUCGCAAACUCUCUAUGUCAACUCUUUAAGAACAUAUCUAUUCUUAGGUUUUGUUAUCACUUUAUGUCUAAGAAUAAAUUAUGAUUAAUUAGUUUCAUUCCAUAUAAUAUUCAGCCCAAGACUCUCUUCUAGAUUCAGAACUCUAAGAAGAAAAAUUAUUGUUGAAUAGAGAGAGCUCAUUUGAAAUUUUUCUCAAAAAUUUUAUUUUAAAUUCACAACUUUAGAAAGCUCAUACCAUUGUUUCACUAAUCUAGCUCAUACUUGAAGCAUUAAACUUUAAGAUUAAAUUUAUUCCACAAAAAAUGACAAAACACAUCAUCAUAGGUCUUCUCUAAAAGUAGAGGUUUAAUUAAAAAUAGCUCCAGAGUAAUAAUGAUCGUAUAAUUUUUGAAUGCCCUUUGAUUCCUUAGUAUAUGGUAGCAAUGCAUCAGCAAAAUUUAUUUUGAUUAAAAAUGUAUUCAAAGGUCCUUAAAGAUGCUGGAUAUUAAAUACUUGAACCUAUUUUAAGAAGGUAGACGAGUGUGCAUAGAUAUUCAUUCGAAGUGUUGGUAUUUAUAAAUAAAUCAUCUAUAGAAAACCACUCAUAUCUCUCAGAUCUUCAAUGUCUAUUUUUCUUGGAAAAGUUAUAAAUUAGAAUGGGAGGAAGUUCAAUAUGAUAUUACCUAUUACCCCACAUUGUUAAAACAUAACAUUUAUAUUCAUUUUUUGAUGGUUGAAAAUGAUUUGAUAAGAAUACGAAAAACAAAAUCUUGAACAAAUGACACAUGAUUUGUUCAUACAACGAAAUUUGAUAGACAAGCUGGUAUUAAUCUACUCAAAAUCUUUUUUAUCCUCAAGUAUGUCUCUAAACAAGAUACCUGUAUGUAAUGAUAGCUAUAGAUGUGUCUAUUUAUUGGAAGGUCUUUUAAAAUAGAAAAUAUGUAGUAAGUUAUGUAAAGAACUAUGUAAUUUUUUUUUGCAAUGAGAAUUUUCUUAAUGCAUGGUUUACAUGUUUGUGUGAAAUCUGAUGAGGUUACUUUCAGUUUGUGAUGGUUGUUUCAGGCAACCAAGAAAUAUCCCAAAACUCAUCCUUUAAGAAGGAAACUUUAGCCUGUGGUCUUCAGGCUUGUUAUCGUGUGUGUAAUCCUUUGGGGAAGUAGUGGACAUAGAGGAGAGGUAGCUGUUAAGCCUUGGAUAUAGCUAGGAGGGUAAAUCACUCUAAAAGUUCGUUACUUCACCUAUGUGUCUGGUGUUUGUUUCCAACCAUCCCAAUAGAUUCAUGUGCCUAAGUUAAAAUACUGCAUGUAGUUGAAGAGAUUAACUAAUGAACUGUAUUUCUAUUAUCCUCGCUGCAUAUCCAAACGUACUGUAAAAAUAGAAAAUUAAUUUUUCGUAACUAAAUUGGUAAUUCUUAAAUGUUUGAGCGAAAUAAAUUAGAGAUUAUAAUUAAGUAUAUGCUACAAAAAGUCUAUUUCCACUGAGGACAUAAACUCUCCUAUCGUUCUUUAAGAUUGACAAGGAAUGGCAUAGGUUGUUUGGUGUGUAGAGGAAGUUAAGUUGAUAGGUUGCCUCGCAUGGUGAGGCCAUUUAGUUGAUGGAGACGUGACAAGUGUUAUGAUAAUUUGUUUGACACACUUAGGCCAUUUAGUUGGUAAGGAAUUGAUUGCCUUAAAACAGUUCGGUUUCCAGUAUUAUGAUCACAAGAGUGGUUGGCAGCUUUGAAAGCUAUUCAAUUGUUCGUGAGUAUUUGGGUCUCACUUUUGUAGAAUUAGGGAAAGCUUUAUAAGUGAGAGCUAUUGGAAAAAGGAUUGAAACCUAGGAGUGGAAACCCUUCAAAAACUAUGUGCGUCUCUUAUCGAUUUGAUUCUUUUAGUAAAUAUGGACAUCCCAUAUUUACUAAACUACAGAAUAAGAGUACGAACACAAGGAUCGUAUAGUGGUUUGAACAGUGUUGGCACUUAACUCUGCGUACUCUAAUUCUGAUCCAUCUUUCAACGUGGAUUAACAAUAUCCUAUUGGCUUCUUAUUCUAGUAAAUUAGAAAACUAUAAUUUAAGGAUUAAAAUGAGCUAGACUAGCAAUCUCUACUUUCAAUGAAAGUGUCACGGUGCUAGACAAAACAACUACUGAUUAGUACGAACUUGAAUUAGAUUUCCAUAGCCCCGGUAAAACUUGACGUCAAGUUUGAAUGAUAUUUGUAUAUCAUUUCCAUGAAAAGUCAUCGUUGUUAAUAUACUUACACUAAAAUGUCUAUAAGAACUGUUUUAUCCAUGAAUAUAAUUUUUCAGCAUCAAAGCACAUUACCACAAAUCUCAACAGUUCACCAAUUGUUGGACACCUAUGAGUGCAUUUAUCAGUUCUUGCCUAACUAGUUCUCUGCUUAAGAAUGGUCCAGGUCAGAACCUAUUUUUCUAAAGUGUCUAUGAAGUUAGCUAGAAACUGAGGUGGAUGGUUUCAGCGUGCAUAGGCAAGAUUGGCCAACAAACACUGGGGUUAAUUCGACAUAAUAUUGUAAUAAAGCACAACUAAUGCGACGGCGACAGUCGAUACCGGGGGAAUUAUGUCGAGAGAGACGUAUGCCACGCGUCAACCGAGGGCUGCCGUACCAGGGGAGGAAGCAAUUGCGGAAUGGUCUUAUUAUCACGUCAACAUGCCCUGGCCGUGAAGGAAAUCUCCAUUUGCGAAGGAUUCGUGAGGGUCAGUGUUUUGGGGGGGGUCCUUGCACGUGUCCAAAUGGGAGCUAGUAAACGACGCGGCGUUGCUCUCGAAGGGAGCCUUAUAUGUCCGUCAUCUACUCAGACCUAUUGUAGCUACUUUUUCCAAACGAUGGGUAGCCGUGCCAGUCGGAACAGCUUGCUGCCGCCGAUCGGUCCUCCCAUUGGAAGGAUCGAAAGGUGAACCGAUUUGGAUUUGUCGUCCCCAAAGGAAGAGAGGUGAGUGAGAUGAAGAGGCUAAAACAUAAAUAACUUAUCAUGAAUUAUUAUGUAAAUCGAAAAAUUAUUCCAAAUUGUAGAAGAUAUUAAUCGUGUUAGGCGGAAAUCGGAUUCAAUGGCCUUGGAAACAAAGAGGCUAAGUGGCUUUCUAGUUUAAAACCUAUUAUGCUCUCUAUGUGACCCUUGAAAAGGUAAUGAUAAAGUCAACACAUAUAAUUAAUUGAACAAUGCAAAGUAAGCAACGAUAUCUUCUGACGGAGCUUGGCUGUGGAGAACGAGGUUAAGCGAUGCUUGUCUCUAUCACUUGGGGACGUGAGACGGUUAGCGUAUGUGGGACUUCCCUUUCGUCCCUCGAUCUCUCCUAUUAUCUCUUACCACGCAUCUAGCCGCAGAAUCUUAGACACAGACGGUAGGCUCGUUUAAUUCUAGUUUUUCAUGUGGUGGACAUUGAGGCCAGGAAUGCGGUUCCUUCCGUGUCGUGGUAUCUAUUAAAAGUUCACCAUAUAGAGGAAGAAAAUACGUUUUGAAAAGCUCACUCUUCUAUGAGCGGAGAUACGAGAUCAUUUGUUCGGAUUAUCUGAAAUUUUACUUUCUUUCAUAUUUGAGCACAAUUUCUUCAGCCACGAGAUAAAAGACCUUUUUGGGCUUAUCUUCUAUAUGUUUACUGACGUGGAAAGUUUCUCUCGUACUAUGUAAACUAUUGUCUCCUAUUGAUCGUUGUGUACCUGAUUCUUUAUUUCUCCUUCACUGAGCUUUCAACUCGCGGAUAUUUGCUGCACAAGAGAAGUUCCAUUUCUGAAUCACCUUGCUCUGAUACGCGUAACUCUCGCACAUAUUUUUUGCCGCCAGCACAGCAUCUGGAGAUGCUAACACGUUCAUAAAAUUUCUCAAAUGCAUCGGGGACCAUUGAAAUCCAAAUAAUUAUUGGCUGAAAGAGACGUCAACAACGUGUCAAAGUACUGGCCUCCUAACAUGGGAGGAACGAUAGCAGAAGCGGCCUUAUCUCUCUUCCAUGCCAUUGCUAACAAGGAAACGCCAGAUUUGUGUGACGAUUCAGGCCGGCACGUCACUUUCGCUCUUGCAAGUGGUCAACCGGGAACAAGCCCAUAAGGAGUCAUUUUUCGCCAGAGCAGCCACCAAAUCGCACCCCAACAAUGGCAGCGUGGGCGCCCUCGUUGUCUUCAGCCCUGUUGUGCCUUCUUUUGUUCUCCUACGACGGUCUGGUCAUUGGGCGGGACAGCAGCUUCGCAGCUGUUCGACUUGCGAGCUUGGUGCCUUCCCCUAAUUGCUCUCAGAUCAAAGGUUUACUCCCUCAACCAACUUUUGUGGGACUCGGAACUUUAUCCUAAUUCUCGAGAUUCCUUGGUUGAGUGAUAAUUUUUCUAGCCCAAUUUGCCCUCUUACAUCGGGAUGUACAUAAAACUCUUAUGUCAUAGAAACAUUUCGAUAAACUUAUUUAAUCAAUGAGUAUUCGUCUGAUCUCUCAUUCUGUUGCAGUCCGCAGCCACAGCACUAGGCAGAUAGUCCAUCGUUACGGUCCCUGCGCAGCCAAGUCUGUUAGCAAACCCAGCCACCUUCAAGCUCUCGCCCAGGAUUUCCUGCGAGUCGUUUCAUUGCAGGAAAUAGUUUCUGGCGUCUACCAUGGAAACGAUACAUUUCUUGGAAGCCAAAUCUCCAUCCCGGCGAGGAGUGGCCUGUACCUCGGCACCGGCAAUUACGUCAUUACUGUCGGUUUUGGCACCCCGACGAGGAAUCAGACAGUCGUUUUCGAUACCGGCAGCAGCGUGAACUGGAUCCAGUGUAAGCCGUGCACUAUAAGCUGCUACCCGCAGCAGGAACCGUUGUUUGAUCCUGACGUCUCGUCUACCUAUCGUAAUGUGACCUGCUUGGCUCCCGCAUGCCUCGGACUUAGCAGAAGCGGUUGCUCGGGUACUACCUGCCUAUAUGAGGUGACAUACGGUGACGGAUCCUCAACCGUCGGAUUUCUCGCCACGGAUACUUUCACGCUGACGUCCACCAACGUGUUCAACAACUUCCUGUUUGGGUGCGGCGAAAAAAACCUGGGGCUGUUUGAGGGGGCCGCCGGGCUGAUCGGGCUCGGACGCAGCCCCUUCUCGGUUAAUUCACAGCUGGCCAGCAGCCUCGGCGAUACCUUCUCCUACUGUCUCCCUUCCACAAGCAGCUCCACCGGCUACCUCAACAUCGGCAAUCCGUUAACAACUACCGUUGGGUACACGCCGAUUCUUACAGAUUCACGCGCGCCGACCCUCUACUUCAUUGACCUUAUUGGAAUUACCGUAGGGGGGAUACGGCUUCCAUUGUUGCCGACCGUCUUUCAAUCAGUCGGGACAAUCAUAGACUCGGGGACGGUGAUCACACGCCUACCCCCAUCGGCGUACAGCGCACUUCGGACAGCCUUCCGCGCCGCCAUGACGCAGUACCCACUAGCUCCUGCGGCAAGUAUACUUGACACUUGUUAUGACUUCCGUAACGCGGCGACUGUGACAUAUCCGGUGAUCAGACUACUGUACACUGGUCUCGAGGUCACUCUCCCGGCUACAGGGGUGUUUUACGUCAUCAACUCCGGGCAGGUCUGCCUGGCGUUUGCUGGGAAUUCGGACUUUACCCAGAUCGGCAUCAUCGGCAACGCUCAGCAAAGAACGUUUGAGGUGACGCAUGACAACAUUGCAAAAAGGAUCGGGUUCUCCGCUGGGGCAUGCGGCUAAUUGACUCAGAGGAAAUUUGAGUGUCUUCAGGUCGGGAAUUAACUCGACGUCAGUUCCUUUUGUUUAUUUGAACUUAUGUUAAUUGACUCAUAAUUUUUACACUUUUCCUUCUGCAUGUUGUAAUUAUUUCAAAAUGAUUUUCUGCAGUAGAUAAUUCUGUUUCAUGGUAUGUUCAUGGAUUGACAACAUUUUGUUUAGCAAGUCAAUGUGAUCUUCUUGAAGAAAUAUGCUCCAGGCUGAAGAGAAAGUGGGGAUGGUGGACUGGCAUGAAAGGAAUUAAUGUUGUAGUUGUAUCUGCUGGCAUAUGAUUCCGUGAAGAAAUGGUAGCAGCUCUAUCGGUGGGGGACGAUGGAAGAAAUAAGGAGCAUACAUUGGUGAAUUACUUUUUAAGAAGAUAAUUUGACCUCUUGCUUAAUUUGUUUUGACUGAAAAAAUGUUAUUGACUUUCCCAUCUGUUAUGGUUCAAUAUGAGUAAGGACUGAAUUGGCCUUUAGUCAUACUCAACUUAUUAAUCAUCACAUGGCACAUUUGGCUAACAUCAAAGCUGGUGGAUGAUUUAAGAUUAAUAAUUGAUAGCCCUACAUGAUGCAAUUUAGGAUAAUCAAAGAUAAAAUUUUUAUUACUAAUUUAUAAUCAACUUAUAGACAUGUAUAGGGUAGAAUUCAAGUUGAUCUAGGAUGACGAGGUCAUCCACAAGAGAAUAAAUUAAAGAAAAAUCAAGUUAAUGAUUAAAAAAUUAUCAAUCAGAAUAAUAUCAAUGGGAAGAAUAGGUGAAAUGUGAUUUGAUUUUUUUUUAAUUCUAAAGUACAAGGAAAAUUAAUACUUAUUUUUGUUGAUGUCCUUGGGCAUAGAUUUCGAUAUUACAAAAUAUAUGAGAAAAUAUAUAAUUCAUGAUUGACAUAAUUCACAUUAAGUGAAAUGAUGAAGAGGUGAUGUGCCACACAUGGAUAAAUAUUUUUUAGAAAAUAAAUAUUUAAUAGGUAAAUGAUGGUUAUGUUUUUAAUUCAUAUAUCUAUGUUUAUUUAACCAGUUAAGUGCAACUAUUAUUUAUUAGUCAUAUAAAUCAUUAAAAGAAAAAGAAAAAGGUUCAAAAUAUCAAAUGAACUCUCAUGAGUCUCGAAUUAAAAAUCUAGAUGAUGACACGUCAAUUACUUAUGUGUAGAAAAUGACAACUUAAUACUCGAAUUUGAAGACAAAGUUAACAAAACAGUUGUUCGUCUAAGAAAGAAAAAUCUUCAGUUUGAAUUUCAAAUUGAAUGAACUAGAGAAUAGAAAGAUAUUGAAUUUGUAAUGGUCAAAGAUCGUUGCUAUGUGUUCUAGAAAAUAGUAAGUAUUCAAAUUAACCUUUUAACUUUGUCUCUCGAGCAAAUCAUUAAAAUUUGUUAGAGGACGAUGCCCUACAAGUGUAGGAAGUAAAGGAGAUCAAAAACAAUGAUUCAACUUUGAUCUACAAUGAGCUAUCUCUCUCACAAUCAAGAUUCAUCACUGUUGAGCAUCAACUAUGAGCAGACUACAUCAUACUUCUUAUCAACGAUUAAUGAUUAAGAAAAAUUUUGAAUCUUUUUAUAAUACUCUUCAUUAAGCUUAAGGUAAUUGCGUGGUGAGUGAAGAGUGAGUUUGGGUAAAGGCACGAGUUGCUCUAAACCUUGUUUAGCCUAAAAGGGGCUAGAUCUCUACGGAGGUCGAACUUGAGGUGUUGGGCAACUAAUCCUAUUAAAAUUAGUGUGUAUUUCUGAGAGAAAUAGUGAAAUAUCGAUAGGAAAGAUCUUCUGAGACUAGAAGUAAUUAGGUGAGGGGUGAACCAGCAUAAAAAGCUCUUGUUUCAUAGUGAGACUCUACUAGAAGAGAGAGAAAGUCAUUUUGCAUGUAAAUAAUUAUAUAGAAUUGUGUUAACCUGUGUGUUGACACAUCCAGCAUUUGGGAAGAAAAUGUGAGAUUUUUAAAAUACUAAUUCACCCCCCCUCUUUUCGAGGAGGCUCUCUAUCAGGUCCUAAGGUAAUUAAGUGGUGAAUAGAGAGUGAAUUUGGGCAAAGACAUGAGGUGCUCUAAGCCUUGUUUGGCUCGGAAGAGGUUGGAUCUCUAUGGAGGUUGAACCUAAGGUAUUGGGCAGCUGAUCCCAUUAAAAUCAGUAUGUAUUUUCGAAGAAAAUAGUGAAAUACUAGUAGAACAGAUCUUUUAUGAUUGGAAGUAACUAGUUGAGGGACGAAAUAGUACAAAAAGCUCUUGUUUCAUAGUGAGAUCCUGCCGUAAGUAAGAGAAAGUCAUUUUGCAUGGAGAUAAUUGUAUAUAGCUGUGUUGACACAUCUAGCAUCCGAAAAGAAAAUAUGAGAUUUUGAAAAUAUCAAUUCACCCCCCCUCUUUGUAUUUUGUCUAGCCUCUAAAUCUUUCAAUUCUAUCACAUCAAUCAUAAAAUCUAAUUUUCCUUGAGAAUGUGGCCGAUCUAAGUGUCUUAGAGAUCAAGCAUACAUCAAGGGAAUUAAUGUUGAGGGAAUGAAUAUAAAACCUAUCCUAAAGAACUCUAAACAUGGAUGCUAAAAAUCUUAAAUCCUAUUUUUCCAAUCUACUUAUCUCUUAGAUAAGUCUAUGUCACUUAUAUGGUCAAUAAGAAAAAAAGAUAUACUAAAAAGAGAAGGAACUAAGAAGUAUGAAUUUAAAUGAAUAAACUAAAAAAAUUAUAAAAGAACAUAAAAUAAAAAAUAAAAAUGCCUUCUCUAUGUCCAUUAGAGUACUUCAACUGGAUCUACCCAUUGAAGUUCUUAGAUUGGUCCAUUUGGUGAAGUUUUUGAAGUCUUCCUCUUCUCCUUAUGUGAAUGUCCCUCUCCUUUGUAGGUGGAUUCCAUGCUCAUGAAAUUUUUCCCCUUUUAAGGACUCCUUAAGCUGAAAAUUAAUCUUAGUCCUUAAUGGUCUUGGAGGUAUUAUGGGGCCUUGGAUCUUGGGGUGAUCGGCCGCUGCCUUAAGUCAGUCCCCUACUUCUUUUAGGGCAACAUCAUUAGGGAGGAUCCUAGCCCUUCAUUUGGAUGGUUGGGAUCCUCUCUUUACCCCUCUUUUAGAGGGAAAGGGCAUGCCCAAGGGAAGGUUACACUUGCCCUCCUUUAUUAUAGGGAAGGUUGUUGGACAAUUUCUACUGAGUCCUUGGCCAUUAUCAACAUACAAUUGAAUUCAGUAAUGAACCUCCUAUAGAUUAUAUGAAUGCCAAUUAACUAUGAUCCACUGAAUCUAGUGAAUGAAACCUCAAUCUCACUCUCUAAUGAAUUUUAAGGAAGAUAUAUAUGUUGUAUUAAUUAUUAGUUGGUUGAGAGUUCAUAAAAUGAUGGGAAUUUCGUAUAUGAACAUUUCGUAUAUGACCUGGCCCAUGGGACGAACCAACCCUGAGUUAUCUUUUUUUUUCUCUAUUCAGGAUUCCCUUGGGAUUGGCCCAUCACAUCGAUAGGGGUUCCCUGAGUUGGAGAGCGGACCCUCAUACACUUUAUGUUCGAUAACAAAAGAAUAGGUCCGGUAAAAGGCUUCGUAGUGGACUGCGAAUACUUAUUUUCUACAGUGGCAACUGCGGAAAUCAAUGGAUUUUUGAAGAAAACUGUACUGUGGAAUACCAGUAGCGUGUUAAUUGAAGAACUUUAAUUGAGGUAUGUCCCUCAAGAAAUUAAUAUUCAUAUAUAUAUAUAUAUAUGUAUGGAAGGUCGAACUGAAGUGGAAAGAUAAGCAAUAAGUCAAUAAUGAGAGCUCUGCAUGAGUGUUUGAGUUGUGGACAUUGAUCUCCUAUUGGGUCCUAUUGGGCUUCAUGAGUAUACUAAUCCGAUUCCUCAGUGAGUUUUUUCCCUAAUCGUGUGAUAAUCUUGGGAUGUCAGAGGGUCAGAGGGUCUGUUGUUGGAUGAGUGUUGUAGGAGACAAAUCUCCUGGAAUGAAGAAGAUCUGUAAUGUACUACGGACGUAGGAGGUUCUUUAAGACUACGUAAACCCGGUGUGUUCCAUGUUUCUUUCAGUCGCUCCCUCUCCCUUUCUCAUGAUGUUGUUGGGGAUCAAAGAUGUAGGGCAGUGUGUCGUCGUCAAGGAGAAGUUAUAAACUCUUGUGUAGCCUUCAAAAUAAUUAGGGAGGGAAGAAGUUAAGUUUUGAGGUUUACCUCAAUUAUUCCGCAAGGAGAGGUCGUAAGGGUCACUUAUCCAUUGCCACCCCGACACGCCACUGCCUCCUUCCGUUCACCAGUCGUCCACCACCGUCAUCCUCCAUUGUUGCGGCCUUCGUCUGCCACCGCCUUUCACACAGUCACCGUCUUCAGCCACCGUCGGCCGUCAGUAUCUACUGUUCGUCCGCCACCCAUUAUCGCCAUCGUCAUCACCGGUCGCUGCCACCACCAUCUGCCAUCAUCGUCCGCCGCAGCUGCCACCAUCACUGCCUCCGCCUCUGCCGUCCGCUGCCACCUUCUGCCCUAUUGCUGCCGCUAUCAACUAUCAUCACAAUCCGCUGCUACUGCCACCAUCCUUGCUUCUAUCUCCAUCCGUUUUGCCCUCUUCCCAUUCCGCCGCAUUUGCUGCCUUGCUUUCUCCAUCCCCACAACCCAUUAAUUUCCUCCCACCAGUUACCAUUUAAAGCCUCAGUUCAUGGUAUCACGAACCACUAGAGUGAACCAGUCUGGUUCAGCCCAGCCACAAUGCCGACAUCUGUCCAGCCUAAACCGGCUAGAGCCCUUGGCUGACCAACCUGUUCUGCUAGUGCCAACCAUUUUGACAGCCUGGUCCACACCAGUCAUUCAUUUAGUUUAUCUGGUCAACGGUCAAUGGUCUACGGUCAACAUUAACUCAACUAUUCUCAACUGGGUUCUAGCUUUAACCCAUGUUUCUCGACCACUAAGUUAUUUAUUCUGGUGACAAAAUUAUCUCCAAACCCCUUUUAUCUAUAUAUUAGACUAUUUUUUCAUUGAUUUUAUCUUAAAAUAUUGUCGUUGUAUGAUCCAUAGAUAUGUUCACUCAUUGUCAAAGUUGGUGGUUAGUGAAGGGUGACAACCCAUUUGAUUUGUAUCUUAUCAACUUAUUAAUUGUGGAGAACCUUAAUCAUUUAUAACUUAUCAAUUGGGAAGAUCUAUUUGUUUGAGAAUCUUGUAUGAUUAGACUAGUCUUAUCAUAGCCAACCUUGUAAUAUUUUUAAACUCAUUGUUCGAGUCAAGUAUAGGCACUUGUCUAAAGUAAUAUUUUCACUUCAUCAUCUCGUCUUGCAUUAGAUGUGUUAUGCAUCAGAUUUGUAUUGUGUAGGAAGGGAGAAACAAGGUCACUAAGACCCCUAACACUAAGCACAACGUUGGAAUGGUGGCCUCACUCUUACUUUUCUCCUCCACUCAGUUGUGCUACUUUCGUACCCCUUCCACUGUUGAUACUACGGUGGGCACAAAACUGUUUAGAUUUUUGAACUAGAAACAUUUUUCAACUGGAAAAUAUUUUUGGAUUAGAAAACUGUAGACAAAUUUUAAUACCUAAUUUCAGCAGUAUAAAUGUCUUAAAUCGUUUGAUUUCUAAAUGCAUCCCAAUAAGUUGCUUGGAUGGCACGUCUCAAUGACACUUGCUAUCACAGUUAGCUACGAUCGAUGCCAGGAGAAGCCCACACUAUGAACGACAGCCCACUUGGGGCUUCACAUUCUGGUCCAGCUGGAACAAGUGACAGCUCUUUUUCAAGCCUGCUUUCCAAGCCGUCGAUUAUGGCCUGAAUCCAUAGUGUCGCACACAGUUUGAUGCAUCAAUAAGAAUUCUCCACUUUUCCCAUUCUACAUAUGUCACGACUGGAUUCAGUUGUAAGCAGUAUUUUUGAACGCAUGCUUUUCUCGAUAUGAUUUAUGCAAAUAGUCUAUAAUGAUGCAAAUAUGUAGAAUACUUUUCAUUUGACGAUCAAGAAAAUAUUUAUAGGUAUAUGAAUGUCAACUACUUAGGUAGGCCGGCGAUUCAACCAUGGUAUUAAUCGUUACUUGAAUUUUUAAUUUAAAAUUCAAGACUAGAGACAAAAGUAUAUCAGCAUUUUCUUUGUUUCAGUGGCUGUUCCCCAGAGACAUGUCGAAAGAGGUAGUUUGUGGGAGUAUUAAUGGUUGGGAUUGGCAGAGCUGUUCUCCUCCUAAACUUCCGUAGCUGACCAUGACGUUAGUAUGAGGCUAAUUUACUUGAAGUUCAGUAGAAAAUUUCUGUAAAAGACCAUUUUUAUUGUAAUUACACCAAUUAACUGAGAAGCUGCCAAUGAGGGUCAGUUGAAAACGUUCAGUGAUAUUAGCAGACUUGCUUUGAUUGUCUCUUUUUGAUAUCCAAACAGACAACGAGAACAGGAACCAUUUUGAUGGAUAGCAUCGACAGCAUAGCCUAUCAUGUAACCUGAAGACUGCAGAGAUAGGUGAAAACGAUGACUCAGAGAAAGAGAGAGAAAGAAAGAAGGGUAAUGGUCGCUCCUGGCGAUAGAGUGAGAAAACGGCGCGCGGGUUAGAUAAAAGGGCGGAAGACUUUUCAGAAGCGUUGCUGGGGAUGGCUUUGGACCAAUGGUAGCUCAUUAACAGUACGGAAAGAGGUGAACUUUGGCAAGCAAGAGGGUCAACCAAUCCUGGCGGGAGCACUCAAAGAACACCAGUGUACGCGUCAGUGUGAUUCGCUUCAACACGUAUCUCAAAUUUUGGCCAGUCAUGGCACUGCAGCUACACCGGCGUGAUUCGCUUCCUUAUUUACUGUUACUAAAUGAAUGAAUCAUAAAUCUAAAUAUGAGAUCUAAUAGUCCUGUGUUGUUGUUUGUCACUUUAACAGAAAAUUUCCAUUCAAGAGCUAUUUCCAUCACUAAAGACAUUUCUCUGAAAAGAAAGGAACUGUUUUACUCUGUUCUCGAUAUGAUCCAAGGGACUUGAUUGGCUGGUUUGAUAACUAAAGUUUUCAGGGUUCUGGCACAAUGCCUGGGACUCUGGACUUUUCUCGACGUGGGUAGUGAAUUACAGAAGAGGUCUAGUCUUGGUUUUGCUUGAUUAAGCCUGCACGGAUCUUAGCGCAUUCGAACCCCACGAUUACGCUUGUGGGGGAAGGAUAAAAACAAAUUAUCAACCAGAUGUAUAGGAUCUCUGCGUUCAGAUAUUCCUAUCUUGACGUUCCAAACGUUUUUACGAGAAUAUUGUUAACUCUAAAUAAGGUAGAACCAUUUAUUCGUCCGGAUUUGAAAAUAAUUCCAUAUCAUUGUUCCAAGAAUUUUCCGCACAUCCACUGAUUUGACCGCAUUUCUCUAUCCUCGGUACAAGACGGAAGGUUCGCAUUUAAUUAUUUUGGGCCCAGAAUGGCUUAUUUGCGCCGCGUUUGCACCGGCAUAAUAACUUAACAUCGCUAACGCGAAGUAGACUUCGAAGUCCAAAAAAUAUGCAUUGAGAAUGGCUUGCGCAAGGUAGUCCGGAGGUACCGUUGCCCGAGACGAAACAAGUCAGAGAUGCCCUUUCAGAACUGAGGCCGAAGGAUUUGAUUGUGCCUUUUAUCCAAAUCGGAACAAGUUAAUGCGAUGGCGUCCUCCUAGAGGAGUUCGAUCUGUACCUCGAAUCCUCCGCCCAACAGCGGCUCCUACUGUUCUCCAAGGGACUCCCAAUGGGAACAUGUUGAUGCCGCCGGACACUCCUUCCCACCCGAAAGAUUCCGAGCUAAACCAGAUUUUAUUGAUCUCGCUGGCAAAUAGAGAAAUAGGAAGAGGGAGAAAGCCUGAAAGUGACAGAGGGAGGGAGAUACAUGUAUAUAUAUAUUUAUAUAUAUAUAUAUAUAGAUAGAUAUAUAUAUAUAUAUAUAUCGAGAGAGAGAGAGAGAGAGAGAGGNNNNNNNNNNNNNNNNNNNNNNNNNNNNNNNNNNNNNNNNNNNNNNNNNNNNNNNNNNNNNNNNNNNNNNNNNNNNNNNNNNNNNNNNNNNNNNNNNNNNNNNNNNNNNNNNNNNNNNNNNNNNNNNNNNNNNNNNNNNNNNNNNNNNNNNNNNNNNNNNNNNNNNNNNNNNNNNNNNNNNNNNNNNNNNNNNNNNNNNNNNNNNNNNNNNNNNNNNNNNNNNNNNNNNNNNNNNNNNNNNNNNNNNNNNNNNNNNNNNNNNNNNNNNNNNNNNNNNNNNNNNNNNNNNNNNNNNNNNUAUAUAUAUAUAUAUAUAUAUAUAUAUAUAUAUAUAUAUAUAUAUAUAUAUAUAUAUAGAGAGAGAGAGAGAGAGAGAGAGAGAGGGGGGGUAAGACCGCCGGAGAGAUAGAAAGGAGAGCGACAGAAGAGAGAUACAUAUUUAUAUAAACAUACAGAAAGAGAGAGGAGCAACGUUCCUGCCCGACGGACGACUACUUUUGCCGACAUAAGAGAUGAGUGGAUGGCGGUUCAAAGAGAGGGCGAGGGAGGUAGAAAGAGACGGGUUAACAAUGUACAAAUUAUGUUUUUUUAACCGUUUUAGUUUUGAAUAGAUGCAAAUCCGAGACAACGGCCUAGGUGACGAGGCCCUACGAAGAUUCGCGGAUGUAAACGAUUUGAAAUAUCAUAAUGAUGAAACAAACUUAUUUAAAUAGUCAGAUAACCGGAAGAAACAAGCUUCUCCGAAGAGACUUAAUCAUGGAUCGUAAAUAUCUUAGUAUUUAUCUCGUAGUGCAUUUUUCUAAUGAUUCUCCAGUGCUCCACACAAACCUAAUGAACGUACUUUGACAAAUUCCUCUGUCAUCUCUCUUUCGCAUGAUUGCCUACUCUUCUCCCUUGUUAGAACAAAGAUUUGACUCUACCGCGCUUAUUUGCACCAUUUUUCAUAAUAUUCCGCGACGGAUGCGAAUCAUGAUCACCAAUUUAGAUGAGACCUGUCAUUUUCCUCGAGGAAUAUGGGAAUCGAAGCAAUUAUGAAUUGAGGUAGACAUGAACAGAUCAUCGACCCAGUGGCUGAACAACUGGGCUUAUCCAUUGAAUAUGCCUUUAAUGCCGUAGAAGACCAGAGUUAUUGGAGGGCUCACGGUGAAACACCAGUUCUUUCAUUGGUGGAAGUUCAAUGGGAAAAGCUUAUAAAUAGUAUUUCCUCCCUCAGAGUCUACGCCAAGCCGUAGCACAACGAUGGUAUCACGAUCGUACCUCGUCUUUGCCCCCCUGUUAUGCCUGCUUUUGUUCCCUUUGGGCGGGUACGCCCUUGUGGGCAGCCUCAGUUUUGGAAAAGUUCGUAUAGGGAGCUUGGUACCCUCCCCCGGUUGCUCUGCCUCUAAAGGUUAUUUCCCGCUAUCGGAUUUUGCAGAUGCUCACUGAACUUUCCUUAAGCUAUUGGAUCACCUUUAUCCAAUAUUAUUUUUACUGGUUAAUUUCUAUUUCCGCUAAUUAUAUAUAAAUUCACGACUCUAGACUUUGCAUCUAUUGCAGCCCGCAGCAGCAGUUCUCUCAAAAUAGUGAACCGCUUCGGUGCGUGCUCAAGCAAGUCCUUCAGCAAGCAAAACCUCAUUAGUGCACUUGCCCAUGACUCCCUUCGAGUCGAUUCGAUCCAGGCAGCCGUUGCGGGAGUCCCUCUUGUCAAUGAUUCAAUACUGCUUGGGUCACAGGUCUCUAUCCCGGCAAAGAGUGGCCUCUAUAUUGGCACGGGUAACUACGUCAUCACUGUUGGCUUCGGCACUCCAACGAGAAACCAGACAGUCAUCUUCGAUACCGGCAGCAACGUGAACUGGAUCCAGUGCAAGCCUUGCGUGGUAAGCUGCUACCCGCAGCAGGAGCCGUUAUUUGAUCCCGCCCUCUCGUCUACCUAUCGUAAUAUCACCUGCACGGCUCCCGCGUGCCUCGGACUUAGCAGCAGAGGUUGCUCGGGCACCACCUGCGUCUAUGGGGUGACCUACGGCGACGGAUCCUCUACCGUCGGCUUCCUCGCCACGGAUAGCUUCACGCUGACAUCCACCAACGUGUUCAACAACUUCAUAUUUGGGUGCGGCCAGAACAACAAGGGGCUGUUCCGGGGGGCCGCCGGGUUGAUCGGGCUCGGACGCAGCCCCUACUCGCUGAAUUCUCAGGCGGCCAGCAGGCUGGGCAAUAUCUUCUCCUACUGUCUCCCUUCCACAAGCAGCUCCACCGGCUACCUCAACAUCGGCACUCCGUUAAAAACUACCGUUGCUUACACGCCGCUACUGACCAAUUCACGCGCGCCUACCCUCUACUUCAUCGACCUCAUUGGAAUUACCGUUGGGGGAACACCGCUUCCAUUGUCGCCGACCGUCUUUCAAUCUGUCGGGACAAUCAUCGACUCCGGGACUGUGAUCACCCGCCUACCCCCAUCGGCGUACAGCGCACUUCGGACGGCCUUCCGCGCCGCCAUGACACGGUACCCACUGGCUCCUGCGGCUAGUAUACUAGACACUUGUUAUGACUU